UACGUAGGGUGCAAGCGUUAAUCGGAAUUACUGGGCGUAAAGCGUGCGCAGGCGGUUGUGCAAGACCGAUGUGAAAUCCCCGGGCUUAACCUGGGAAUGGCAUUGGUGACUGCACGGCUAGAGUGUGUCAGAGGGGGGUAGAAUUCCACGUGUAGCAGUGAAAUGCGUAGAGAUGUGGAGGAAUACCGAUGGCGAAGGCAGCCCCCUGGGUCGAUACUGACGCUCAUGCACGAAAGCGUGGGGAGCAAACAGG
rnacentral:rRNA from 1 species